CCUCCCCCUUGUUCAGAAAUUUGCUGAUUGUUAAGUCACUUCUGAACCUUUUUGCGCAAAAAUAAAGAUCUCUCUUUCACCCAUGGAAUUUCGUAAAAGCCCUUUAUUUUUUUAACCCAACAUCCUUCUUUAGGGCCACAACAGGGCUGAAAUUCCUCCAGGUGGUGGGCCUGGACUCAUAAAAAAUAUAUAUAUGGUGACUGAACAUAGACAAUCAAUGGGGGAGGUAAGCAGAAUUGUAAAAUCUUUUCAUCAAAUUUUAGUGUAAAAAUUGACUUCAAAUUCAGAAUUAGCACAUCAAUAUACCCUAAAAUGGUCCAUUUUAGUGAAAAGGGUAUUGAUACUAUUACUUUAAAUUCACAUGGAAUCAUAGCAAUAAAGAUAUUAUAAUAGGAAUGUGCAUUAACAGAUUUCCCCUUCUCUCUAAAUUUGAAAGCUCUUCGUGAGAAAAUUGAAAUAAAUAUUUGAUGCAGUCUGCUUUAAAUUAUUCAUAGAAUUUAAAGGCCACCUUCCUCUAAAUGGUGGUGUUACUUUAGGCCAGUCACUUUCUCUCAGCCAUUAAUGACUGGAAAAUACACAAAAACAGAACAGGUAGCAAUCAACUUGAAUUGUUUUGUAACAAAAGACAAGGGUAAUAUUAUAAUUUGUUAUUGUAAAACAGCUUCAGUCAUCUGCAUUUAGCAUAGGCAAGCUAACUGCAGAUAAUGGAAAAUGCAAUCCAACAACUCUCAAGGCCUAAUAGCUCUUGUAGAUACAUACAUCUGGAGAGAACCUAGUUUAAAAUGAUCUGAAACAGAAGUAGAUAUUUAUUCUGAACACUACAGGCAAAAGGGCAUAAAAUAGGCCUUCAGAUUCAUUAUUAACAUAUUCAAAGAUUAAAUUUCAGGUUAAGAAAGAAGUUUAUUUCUUUCUUUUAAAGAAAAUACUUCUUAUCAAAUAACAAAAACAAAAAAUAAUUAUCAAAUUUCAAGAAAUUUGUUUACCUAUAUUACUAGAAACAUCUUCACAUAUAUUUAUAUAAAAAUCAUUCAUGUAAACUCAAUAGGCAAUAUGAAUACAUAUUAGAAGGUGACAAAAUAAUAAAACAGAACUUUAUCUAUUUUAAUUACGGUAAGGACCCUGUUUAGUAUAAUGAUUAUGGUCUGGCCUAGAAAUCCUGAAAACUGAUUUUAGGCCUCCUUUAGGCAUGAAAGCCAACAGCCUUCCAAUUUUAUUGAUGUAUCCAGAAAUUGGGAAAAUAUAUGUGGUAAUAAAGAAGAUGGAACCAUAGUUCCACAUAUUUUGUCCAACCCUACUGUGUUUUUAUAAGAAUAUAGAUGAACAUAGUGUAUAAAUGCAGACUCACUGUGUGCAGAGAUCACUGUGCAAGCCCCAGAACCCAGGAAAAGAAGAGAGGAGUUGACACAGUUUGUGUCCAGGAUGUGAGGGGCCGAAGUUCAUUUGAAAGUUAAUUUGAACUGGAUGAGCAUGUGCCAGCAUUGGACAUUGUUUGAAAUGCUGAUUUUUCAGUCAAACUCUAUUCUAGAAAUGUCUGUAACAAUCAGACUGCUUUGCAACAGCUGCACUUUUUGCUGCAUAAAUAUAUUGUGAGAAAUCACACUCCAGUAGCAUUGAGUCUCUUGGGGUUUGUUUGCUCCUCUCAUAAAAACACUUUUUUUCAGAAAAGGAGUUCAGGAGGAUGGGGCUAUACCCUGAUCAAAGCUUAAAGGUCAGUAGCCAUUUUGUUUUUGACUCAGUUCCUGGAAGGGGAAGGCAGCCAUUUCAUCUACCAUGAAGGGAUCUGAGGAUAGGAGAGCAGUCUGAACAGACAUGUGUCAACCUGUCAAGGUUCUUUUGCAGUGUCAAGACAUGAGGGGGGAAGGUUAGAGGAAGAAGAACAGAUUUGGUUCAAAAUCAUUAAUAUGAGAGGCUAAAGGUUUUGGGCCCACAAGUCCUUUGACUCUGGUAAAAUAUAGGUAAUGACCCUGAACAUGACUAUCUUGCUUGGAUUCAAGGUGCAAUUUGCUUCUUGUUGGAUGUUUUAAUUUUCUAAUGUCAAUUUUGCAAAAGAUUCCUAAACAGUAGAUGAAAAUGAAACUUACACAAUAACUUCCCCUACCUAUAUUUCCCAUCUAUGUUUAUAGGACUACAUUUUGUCAGUGAUUUAUAAAGACUUAAUGUUUUGUAAACUUAUUUUUUUUAUAAAAUACAGGUCUUGUACGUUCACUUGAAUAAUCCCUUGAUUUCUUCCAUUAUAAUGGAUGAUUAUGUUUUAGACUGGGCUAGUAAAAUAGUCUUUAUUCUGUAAUCUGCCAACAGAUCAGCAAGGCCCAGCUAUGUAAAGCACAUUGUAAACAUUAGACAGGAGAAAGAGGAAGAUACUCAGGGAAGAGAGAACACAGAGAAAGCUUUGGAAAAAGAACUUGAGCCUCAGGAAUCAAGAAAGAAAAAAACUACUCAGCUAUUUAAUAAUUGAAAGAAACAAAUCCAGAAUUCCUAUUGUUAGAAAGAGGUAACUGAAUUGUCAUUUUUACAGCUGGACCUUUUAGGAGAAGAGGAAACCUUGUGCAAUUUUAACAUGGAUGGAAAAUAGCAGAUUAUUGACCAAAAAUCUGUUUCCUUCUUGCUGACCUGGAAAGAGACAACUACCGUCCUUCUAGAGGACGCUCAAGAAGGAUCAGAAGUGGAUCCCGAAGAAGAGGUGGAUAGACUUUACCA